UACGAAGGGGGCUAGCGUUGCUCGGAUUGACUGGGCGUAAAGGGCGCGUAGGCGGUUCGUACAGUCAGACGUGAAAUUCCUGGGCUCGAACCUGGGGGCUGCGUUUGAUACGUGCGGACUUGAGUGCGGAAGAGGGUCGUGGAAUUCCCAGUGUAGAGGUGAAAUUCGUAGAUAUUGGGAAGAACACCGGUGGCGAAGGCGGCGACCUGGUCCGAUACUGACGCUGAGGCGCGAAAGCGUGGGGAGCAAACAGG
rnacentral:rRNA from 1 species